GGCUGCCCUNGACGUUCAUGUAGGAGGCCCCGACUUCCUAUCUUUCAUCAGAGAGAGGAUAAACCUAUCCCCGGAUCUUCAAACCAUCUUGCGAUACUGGGCAUAGCAAAUUUCGAAACUUGCGUGUUAACAUACCAUGCAACCGUCGGAGAAGAGGUCAAGCCGAUCGAUGUGGCGGAUGAUGCGGAUGCAGAGUCGAACACUG
rnacentral:lncRNA from 1 species